rnacentral:rRNA from 1 species
GAUGAACGCUGGCGGCGUGCUUAACACAUGCAAGUCGAACGAAGCACUUAAUGAGAUUUCUUCGGAUUGAUUAUUUUGUGACUGAGUGGCGGACGGGUGAGUAACGCGUGGGUAACCUGCCCCAGACCGGGGGAUAACAGUCGGAAAUGACUGCUAAUACCGCAUAAGCGCACAGUGCCGCAUGGCACGGUGUGAAAAACUCCGGUGGUCUGGGAUGGACCCGCGUCCGAUUAGUUAGUUGGCGGGGUAACGGCCCACCAAGACCGCGAUCGGUAGCCGACCUGAGAGGGUGACCGGCCACAUUGGGACUGAGACACGGCCCAGACUCCUACGGGAGGCAGCAGUGGGGAAUAUUGCACAAUGGAGGAAACUCUGAUGCAGCGACGCCGCGUGAGCGAAGAAGUAUUUCGGUAUGUAAAGCUCUAUCAGCAGGGAAGAAGAAAUGACGGUACCUGACUAAGAAGCACCGGCUAAAUACGUG